rnacentral:misc_RNA from 1 species
UGUCGGCUCCGGGUCCCAGCUGCA